CCUCGGUGACCCACGACCAACCGUCGUCGAUUGGCGACCCACGAGCUGCCGUCGCCAAACCCUGGCGACCAACACGUAGCCGUCGCCGAACCCCAGCGAUUCACGACAAGCCAUCGCCGACCCCUGGCGACCCACGAGUAGCCAUCGUCGAGCCCCAACGACUCAGAUCUGGCAACGUUCGAGUCUCCCGGCAUUGCCUAACUCUGUGAUUGCUGUCGCUCAACCUUGGUGACUAGAUCUAGCACUGUGUAAUCCAUUCCAACGUCGUUGGACCUAGCUCACCUCAAAUCCGGCGAUGUCCGACCGAGAUUGAACUUGAAUACGCAAGGAAAUCUCGUCUUCUCCAUAAAUAUCACUGUUGCUUGGAUUUUAUGGCUCCUACAGAGGAUAAAGUUGCUGCUCCUCUCCUUGAAAGUGACGUAUUCUUCAUUUUCCAUUGAAAUUCUUUUUGCUGCUGACUUAAGUAUUUAUGUGCGCGAUAUUACAUUGAAUCGAAGGAAACAGUGAGAAUAGCUUGCUGGUGGUUUGGUAAUUUAUGUUAUUAACCACAGAUAGAUGGAAUGAUUUCAUGAAGUGUCGGUGAACUGCUGGUGGCAAUUGGAUUGAGUCCUUUUAUGUUCGGAAUUACUUGUGUAUUUGAUUGGAUUACCGAAUUGAAGUGCUGGUUACUGUGAAGUUAAUUUUUUGGGCUCAAUCACACUAUUUCUUUCACUAAUGGCGAACAGUGGAUCGACUUCAGGAUCAGGAUCCCCUUUUGGUCAUUUUCAAUUAACAUUUGUUAAGUUGGAUGGAACUAAUUAUCCAUCCUGGUCUAAAGCUAUUGAGGUCUAUCUUACUGCCACCAGGUAACUUGACUAUCUCACAUCUAUGGUACCAUCCGAUAAGAGUAAAGCUGCUGAUUGGGUUGCAGGAGAUGCGAUGAUUCAGACUCUAUUGUGGAAUAGCAUGGAUCCUAAGGUCAGUCCUCACUUUAUUCAGUGUGACUCUGCUAAGGCAGUUUGGGAUAAAUGUGCAUUACUCUAUUCGGGGCAAAAUAAUAUGAUGCGAGUAUGUGACACGUGGGAAAAGCUGUUUGAUAUUCAGUGUGGAGAUCAAUCUUUAUCCGAUCAUUAUGCUCGGUUCACGACCCUUUGCCAGCGACUGGAUACUUAUCUUCCUGCCUCGAAUGAUCCAGAUGUUUUGGCCAAACGCCAAGAGGAUUUGAGGGUAAUAUUAUAUCUUAAAUCAUUGGGGCCCGAGUAUUCAUCUCUCCGUCAACAUAUUACAUCUUAGAGUUCUCUUCCUACAGUGGAUGAAGUCUUCUCCCAGGCUCUCCGUUCCACAAUUCCUGAGAAGAUUUCUUCCACGCCGGCUGUGGAGAUGAGUGCUAUGCUUUCCCAUGGUCCUAGCGGACGUGGAGGUCGAGGUCAUGGACACGGUUUUGUUCAUAGUGGAGGUCGUGGAGGCCGUGAUGGGGGAGUUGGUACUCGUGGUACCAUGAAUUCUGGGAAUAGUCGUGGCUCACGCUAUUGCCAUCAUUGUCAAAGAGCUGGACAUACAGAAGCUUAUUGCUAUACACUUCACCCAGAACUCAGACCACCCCUGGCUGCAUAUGCAGAAGUUGAGGAUUCUCUUGUUGCUCCCUCAACAGGUCCACCAAGUUCGACUAAUGUGAAGGAUACAGGCGAUUCAGUUACAUUAACACGUGCUGAGUAUGAUACAUUGGUUCGCUCUCAACAGGUGACAGGAUCUUCAGCUCCUACUGCAACUCUAGCACAAACCUCCAAAGGUAGUUCAUCUUGUUUGUUGUCUGCAGCAUCUGACUCCUGAGUUAUAGACUCUGGAGCUACUAAUCACAUGACUGGAUUUGAGGACUGGACAGAUGAUUGGUGGGGGACAUGAAUCAAAUGGCCUGUACUAUCUUGAUAAGAAGGUGUUAGCUGCUGCAGCUGUAAAGCGUACAUCCACUGAUGUAUAUCGAAUGCAUUGUCGUGCUGGUCAUCCACCACCGAACAUACUUCGGCGUCUAUUUCCUGAGUCUGAGUCUGUGAGUUCCUUUCAGUGUAGAGUGUGUCAGUUUGGUAAACAUCAUAGAACUUCUUUUCCUUCCCGUAUUCAGAGUCGUGUGUCUAGUCCAUUUGAACUGGUUCACUUAGAUGUAUGGGGUCCGUGUCGUGUGUCUGAUGUCUUUGGAUUCAGAUAUUUUGUUACAUUCGUGGAUGAUUUUUCCCGAAUGACUUGGUUAUUCCUAAUAAAAAACCGUACAUAGAUUUUUCAUUGCUUUCAAUUGUUCUAUUUUGAAGUAUUGAAUCAAUAUAAUAUCUCUGUCAAAUAUUUACGGUCAGAUAAUGCUAGAGAAUAUCUUGCUGCAACUUCUGGUUUCCUGCCAUUUCUUGAGUCCCAUGGUAUUAUUCAUCAGACUUCUUGCUCAUACACUCCCCAGCAAAAU